rnacentral:rRNA from 1 species
UACGAGGGGUCCUAGCGUUGUUCGGAAUCAUUGGGCGUAAAGAGUAUGUAGGCGGCCUUAUAAGUCAGGUGUGAAAGCCCCGGGCUCAACCCGGGAAGUGCAUCUGAUACUGUUUGGCUUGAGUGUUGGAGAGGGCAGUAGAAUUCCAGGUGUAGUGGUGAAAUACGUAGAUAUCUGGAGGAAUACCGGUGGCGAAGGCGGCUGCCUGGCCAAACACUGACGCUGAGAUACGAAAGCGUGGGUAGCAAACAGG